rnacentral:rRNA from 1 species
ACACGUAGGGGCCUGACGUUGUUCGGAAUCAUUGGGCGUAAAGGGCGCGCAGGCGGCCGUCCAAGUCCGGUGUUAAAUGGUCGGGCUCAACCCGAUCAUGCGCUGGAAACUGGGCGGCUGGAGUCCCGGAGGGGGUGCCGGAAUUCCAGGGGUAGGGGUGAAAUCUGUAGAAAUCUGGAAGGAAACCGAUAGCGAAGGCGGGCAGCUGGCCGGCGACUGAGGCUGAGGCGCGAAGGCGCGGGGAGCGAGCAGGUUUAGAUACCCUGGUAGUCCGCGCAGUAAACGAUGCGCACCAGGUGCCGGGCGGCAGCGCCCGGUACCGGAGCAAACGCGAUGAGUGCGCCGCCUGGGGAGUAUGCCCGCAAGGGUGAAACUCAAAUGAAUUGACGGGG